GAGAAAUUGAUGAAUGGGUUUUGGUGGGUUUCAGACAGUGGAUUGAAUAGGGGUAUUCGUUGGCAAAGGUGGGAGGAAUUGUGUAGGCCAAAGCAGUAUGGGGGUUUAAAUUUCAAGAGCUUACAUGAGUUUAACAUGGCGAUGUUGGGAAAGCAGGCUUAGAGAUUAUUGACAGAUCCAUCGUCCUUGGUUGCAAGGGUUUAUAAAGCUAGCUACUAUCCCUCUGUUGAGUUGUUAAAAGCAGAAUUGGGGAAUAAUCUCAGCUUUGUUUGGCGAAGCAUUUUAGCAGCGAUACCAUUAAUUAAGGCAGGAGCACAUAGAUGAGUGGGUUUACGAACUUCAAUUUCAGUAUGGGCAGAUCCAUGGCUCCCAGACCUUGAACAGCCGAAAGUAACAACGCCUAUGGUUUUGGGUCUUGCUGAUCUCAAGGUUAGUUCCUUUAUAAUCCCUUCCAUUAGAGCUUGGGAUAGUGUUCAGAUUGAGGCUGUUUUUAAUGAGAGGGAUCAAGGUCAUAUCUAUCAGAUUCCAUUAUCUCAAGUUUGUCUUGAGGAUUGCUGGCAAUUGGUUUUCAAUAGGAAGGGCUCUUAUACAGUUAAAAGUGCUUAUGCAUGGUUGUGUCGUGAUCAAGCUAUAGAACAUUCAAUGCUGGGCCCUGCUUUUUGGAAUCAAUUAUGGAAAUUAAGUAUCCCUCCUAAGGUCAAAAUUUGGUGUGGCGUCUAUGUAUGGGAUGUGUUCCGACGAAUGAAUCUUUAUUAUGCCGCCAAAUUGAUGUUGAUGAGUAUUGCCCCUUGUGUGCAGUGGGUAUUGAAUCAGUAGAUCAUUUGUUCAUCUGGUGUCAGGUGGCUGUUGAUUUUUGGCUUGCCGUUUUGCCCAAAGCUUGUGGUAUUUCUGCGCAGGGUGAGUCCUCUGUUUGUCGUUUUUCUGUGUGGAUUGGUCAAUUGUUCCAUUCGGCUUCAGUUGACAAGAAAUGUAUGAUUUGUAUGACGUUAUGGGUAAUUUGGAAGCAUAGGAAUGAUGUUGUGUGGAAGGGGUUUGGCUUCCUAUGGGGAAUUUGGUCCAUUAUGCUUUGGAUUUUCUCCUUAAUUGGCGAAAGGCUCCAUUGGGUCUUCUCCAGCCCUGCACGCUGAUACUGUUGAUAGUAAUUCGGUAUGGUUCAAGCCACGUCCUGGGUUUGUUAAGUGUAAUUGUGAUGCAGCUAUCUUUCAACAUAGUGAUUGUAUUGGAGGAGGUUGGGUGAUUCGAGAUGAGGAGGGCCAGCUGGUCAAUGCUUGUCAUAUUUGUUUGUGCGGCCCCAAUGAUUCGGCUGUUGCUGAGGCUUUGUCAUUUAGAGAGGUAUUGAGUUGGGUGAAAAGAAACAAGCUGUAUAAUGUGAUUUUGGAGCUGGACUCGUUGCAAUUGGUUAAAGCUAUUCAAUGCUGUUGGGUUAAUGCUUCUUAUUUUGGGUCCCUUGUGGCUUAUUGUAUUUCUUUGUUGAAUGAACUGAGUGGUACGUACACUUGUUUUUAUUCGUAGAUCAGGGAACUAAGUUGCUCACUUAUUAGCUACAUUAGCUAGUUCAUGUUCUGAUCUGAAGGAGUGUGGUGCUGUCCCUCCUUUAUUCAUUUGAGAUGCUAUGAUUUUUGAUAUUUC
rnacentral:misc_RNA from 1 species